GACGAACCGUGCGAACGUUGUUCGGAAUCACUGGGCUUAAAGGGCGCGUAGGCGGUCGGGCAAGUCCGGGGUGAAAUCCUGCAGCUUAACUGUAGAAGUGCCUUGGAUACUGCCCGGCUCGAGGGAGGUAGGGGUCUGUGGAACUUCUGGUGGAGCGGUGAAAUGCGUUGAUAUCAGAAGGAACGCCGGUGGCGAAAGCGGCAGACUGGACCUCUUCUAACGCUGAGGCGCGAAAGCUAGGGGAGCAAAC
rnacentral:rRNA from 1 species